UGGGAGCUGUGAAUAGUAAGAGAAACCCUGCUUAGGUCAAGUAUGACCUGUGCCAUAUUUGGGACACACUUAUACUAAAGAAACCUUAUUCUUUCUUUGUA
rnacentral:miRNA from 1 species